ACCCGUCACAGCCAGGGAGGCCCAGGCUGCCGCUCACAGAACAGCUGAGACAUGAAAGUGACCUGAGUCGCCGCCUGUGACCAGUGUGCUGCCACCCUCGGAGGCAUCUGGACAGCCCAUGGGGAGGGGCGCAGGGACCAGGUCUCUUCUUACGCUGUUGGCAGCAAUCCUCAGGUGUGUCUUCACGCCCAGCCAUGCAGGCUCAGCUCAGCUGGACGCUCCAAGGUGACCAUUAGUCACCACACUAGACCACAGGCCUGCCCACCGCGCCCGGCUCACCCUGACCAUUUUCCAGUGUGCAGAUCACAUUUCCGACACUGUUCAAGCACAGCUGCCAUCCGCUUCUGAAAUGUUCCCUCUGCGCCUCCCCACCUCCCGGCCAGGUGGAGCAGGACCCACAGUGCAGCGGCGGUGCAUUCCCUCGGGGGGCGUGGCUGCCCUCCCUGGGCUGACGUUUGCUGUGUGCAGUGCCUCCUCAGACCAUGGGGGCUCCUGGCCUCUGAGGUCACGGCCCGGUGACCCUGUGGGCAGCCUCCAGGCGCCACCUGCAUGGUGGUGCACACCUGUCAUCCCAGCUCGGGGGAGGCUGAGGCAGGAGGAUCCCUGUGAAUUCGAGGCCAGCCUGGGCUACACAGCAAGACCCUGUCUCAGAAAACAAAUGAGCAGAAGAGCUUGUCUUGGGAGCCUGACUACUUUGCUGGCUGGCCUCACCCUCAGCGCACUUGGGCCAGGCGCCUUGGAGCAGGGAGAGCUGGAACCUCUGCCCAGGAUCCACAUUGCCAUUCGCCGGCAGAAUUUCUUCUUCAUCAGGGAAACCUCUUUUGUUCUUUUUUUUUCACCGGGAACUGAACCCAGGGCCUUUGCCCCGAGCUCCAUGUCCAGCCCUCUUUUUUUCUUCUUUUCUUAUUUUGAGAUCUUACUAAGAAGCUAAGUUGCUGGAGCUGGACUCAAACUGGAUCCUCCUGCCUCAGCCUCCCAGAGUGCUGGUACAACAGGCCUGUGCCAUCCCAUCCGGGCCCUUUGUGUUCUUAAGGCCUUGUAACGGCUGGAUGACACCACCCAGACUUCAAGGGUCAACCCUUUGACGGGAGCGGCCGAGCCAGCAUGUGACGAAAACCCACGCCUCGCUUGCACGUGUUGGCAGGGACCCCUGGACACUGUCCUAUCCCUCGGGCUCUGGCACGGCACUGGUGUCAUUGAGAACAGGGGCCGGUGCUGGGCCGGUCGCUGCAAGUCGGGGCUGAGCUGCAGUUGCCUGCUGGAGGGCGGCCACUCCUCGGGCCUCCAGGAAACUGAGAAGCACAGCCCGCCCUCCGAGCAGCCACUUCCACUCAGCACGGCCGCCUCGGCCACUAAGGCUCACAGAGCCUGCAGCACCUGCCCUACCCUCUGGUCACUUCUAUUCUGCAGCUCCUGUCCCUCCUUAAAGGAGAGACUUCAAAACGGCCAGUCCACCCUUGGUUCUUCUGUGUCUGCUUUUUUGUUGUUUUUUUGUUUUUUUGAGACAGGAUCUCGCUGUAUAGCCCAGGCUGGCCUGGAACUCACAGCGACCUCCUGCCUCAGCCUCCCAAGCGUUGAGAUGACAGGCAUGUGCCACCAUGCCCGGCUGUUUCUGCUUCAUUCAGGACCUGUGAGCCCUGCCUACUCCCACAGCUCGGUGAGCCCUUCCUGCCUGUGGCCUGACUCCUGCACCCGCAGUCACGGCACCUGAGGUCCUGCAGGACAUGCUGUCACCUUGUCCUGGGCCACUGCGUUACUCUGUUGUGCAGACAGCUCUGGCCUCAGCUGCCCAGCACAGCUUCCUGUCGCGACUUCCAAGCCUGUGUGGCCCCUGGGUGCAGCUGGCACUCGGGAGGAGAAGGAUGGAGGGGAGCAGAGGGCGAGGGGACCCGGAGCAUGGACGUCGGCCCCACUGGCUUCCGAGGCCAGCAGGGUCUCACUAAGUCACCAACUUCCCCAGGCUGGGGUUGGACUUGCCAUCCUCCUGUCUCAGCCUCCUGAGUGCUGGGAUGACAGAUGUGCGCCACCACGGCCGGCUUCUCAGCCCCCUUCAUGGCCAGCACAAGCUGAGGAGAAAGAAUCCAGUGUCCUCCACCUGGGCAUCACCUCCUGUCCUGGGGCUCCCGUCCUGGCUUAGGCGGCCACCUGGCCCUCCUUCCGCCUCGACCCUGCCCCAAUUGGCCCUGUCCCCACUGCAGCUGCUUUCCUGGGCCAGCCUGGUCUCGGGGUCCCAGCCUGACUCCCCCCAGGGUGCGGCCUCCCCGAGCCCAGGGCUCCAGGGCCUGCAGGGGGAGGGGCCCCAGGAGCAGAAGCCAAGGACGUCAGUAUCCAAGUUCCGGGCCACCCCGGCUGGGGGGAGCAGGACGGCAAGCGCCAUUACACUGCUACCCUCCGCCUCCAGGCUGCUUCCUGCUGCAUGGGGGUUGGGGCGCAGGGCCCAGUGUCCCCUGCUCAGAGCCCCAGCCCUUCCCACUAUCACAUCCUGGUUCUCACACCUGACACUGGGCCUGGCACGGUAAUGAGUGCAAAAGGAACAUUUGUGGGCUUGCUGGUAACACAUACCUAUAAUAGCACUCGGGAGGCUGAGGCAGGAGGAGUUUGAGGCCAGCCUGGACUACAUAGCAAGGCCCUGUCUCAAAAAACAAAAAACAAAAGAUUUGUGGACUUGCUCUCAUCCUCUCCGCAUGGGCUAGGAAGCCCCACUCCCCUCCUCCAAGGGUAAACUGAGGCACAGCUAAGCUCUGCCUAGGCAGCCGAGGUCAGCUGAGCGGAGCCUGAGGCUCAUGUCGGCCUGGGAAGCAGGGCCCAGGGUGCAGAGCUGGGGCUCGGGGCACAGAGGACAGGUGAGGCGCUGAGCCGAUGGGGUCUGACCAGCCUCACCCAUCUGGGGAGACCGAGGCACGCUGACACAUGGAGGCCUCUGAGGUCCUCAGGGUCCCCAGAGCUCACCCUCCCGGCUGGGGACAAGAUGAGGACAGCACCAGGCUCCAGUCUAGAGUCAGGAGGAGGAGAGGCUGGAGGCCCCUGCUGAAGGGGCUGGGAGGCCCCGCGCUGACCGCUGGGGCGGGGACCUCUGCU
rnacentral:lncRNA from 1 species